AAAAAAAAAAAAAAAAACCACCUGCCUUGUAUGGUGACCUAAUUUCUCAAGUGUAUUUGUCUUCAACACAGAACUUUCUAGAUGGCAGAGACCAGCCUGAAACCUAUGGAUGCCAAAGCCUCUCUCUCCGCUUGAAGCAGGCCUUCCACAUGUGAUAAGUGAAUAUGGAAGUACAGCCUGAAUCUUCUACCUGAGUUAAACAGGAAGGCUUAGCCUCUGCAACCUGUGUAAAAGCCAAUUCAGCAACAUCUGAAGUCAUGUUUGCAGUGAUUGGGAUGGGAGCAGGUGAAGCAGAAGGGCCUGGGACCUUCAUUUGCUUGGGAGCUGAGGAGGGAGCUCUGUGGCAGAAGAGAGGGAGGGCAGGCAAGUGCCCGGCCCCUAAGACUUCUGGGAAGAGCAGCUUCAACACUGCAGCUCAGGUGCAGCUUGGGAAGUUAGCUCAGGAAGGUCCUGCUGCCUUUGUUUUAGGGAUCCCCAACCCAGCGAACAGCCCGUUGGCGUUCAGGAGUCGGGGAGACUUGCCCGGCUCGCCGGCUUUGAG
rnacentral:lncRNA from 1 species